UCCUCUCUAGCUCCGAGCCCUUCUCUCCGGCUGCGGCCCCGCCCCGAGCCUCCCCGCGAUUGGCUGCCCGGCCCGCGGCCUCCUCCCGCCUCCUGCGCCCUGCACCAUCCCGGCACCGCGCCGCCCUCCGGGUCUCUGUGUCGCGCACCCGCCGGCCUGUUUUUCCUGCGGAGCUGGGCGGGCGCACUCGCAGCUACUUUGUGGUAGGCUCGGGGCCCGGCCCUGCCCGCGACAAGAGCCGGUCGGGAGCCGACUUUGGGCCUCGGGCGUCUCCCGGAGCGUCUGCGGCGGUGCAGCGGCCUUAGUUCGGAGCGCAGGUCAAAGACUGCAGGUAAGAGCCAUUCAAGCUGGGAUGACCAGAAGCUGGUAUUUUUAACUGAUGUAAACCAACUAUCACUCUACAAUUACAAAUAGGAAAGUGCCUCUAAUGAGGUUCCAUAUUCUGACAUAACUUGUAGCAUCUGUGUGCCUGUGAAACCACAAUAGGAGGUAAGCAGUAGGAUAGUGCUGAUGGUGACAGGAUAGUGCAGUGGGUGCUUUGUGUGCACCUUUUUAAUUUUCACAACUUGUAACUUCUUGACUGUUUGACUUCCAGAAAGUCACUUAUUAUCUCUUAAGACUUGCUAUCAUGGUGUAACUAAAAAAAAAAAAUGUAAACAGAUUGAGCAAAGUUGGGGAGAGCACCAUAAUGCUAAGAAUGUAUGCUCCUUAUAUAUUCAAUUGCAUUAGGCCUAGAGAAGUUUUACAAACCUUGUUACAAAGGAAAUAUCUCUGACAGCAUGUUAGGUGUUUUUGAUGUGUACAGCAUGAUGAAGUGUAAAAUAAGGAUAAUAAAGGACACAAUAGAUUCUUAGAAUAUGGAAGUUUUAGAGGUAUUUGGGAAAGUUUUCAUAGGGGAAGGAACUUUGCAUUCUAGCAAUAUGCAGUAGCUCAAUAAAUGCUAGAACAAGCUUAUUCCUGUCAAUCAGCUCUGAAUGUCUGGCAACUGGAACUUUGACAUUGGCCUGUAAUAGCCUGACAAUUAACCUCAUCUUCCAUAUGUGUUAAAUAAAGGUAUUUAAUAAACACACCUUGUAGUCAUUCUUAAUACUUACAACUUUUGCACUAACCUUUCUAUACUUGAUUUCUUUCUAUGCCUCAUUACUUUACAGUCCAGCCACAAAGGAAUUUGUUUAGUUAAUUUAGUCAAGUAUUUGAGACACUCCUGACUCAGACACUGCUAGAUGCCAGAUGAGGUAGUAAAAAAAGACAGUUUAACAUUCUAUUAGGGAAAAAUGACCAUAACAUAAGUAAAAUGUUGGGUGGCCAUGACUGUUAGAGAAAAUAAAGGGGAGACAGGAAGUAUAUGUGUAUGCAUUGAGAGUAGAAGACAUUUAUAAUUUUAGAUAGGGCUGGUGUGAAAAGGACUUAAGAAGUCCUGGAGGAACUGAGGGAGAGGUCAUACCUAUAUAUAUUGGGAAGAGCACUGGAAAAGCAAGUGCAAAGGCCCUGAGGUACAGAUGUGUUUAAAGGUUUACGGGAAAAGCAAAAGAGCCCAGUGAAGCAGCAGAGACCUGAGCUUAGGGGGAAGAAGAGUCUGCAUAUGCAGGGGUGGGGCAGAUGUUUUAUUAGACCAUUGUAAAAUGGCAACUUGCUUUCUGGCCCUCCCAGGCCUCUGAAUGCAGUAACACUACCUGGAACACUCCCUACCCAUACACUUUCCAAUUCUUCCCUAAUUUCUCUGAACUUUUUGACCUCUCCCCAUCCCCAUGUAAGUGCUCUUGAUCCUGGAUUUUUGUAGAAUGCUCUAAUGACAUUAGCAUCUACAACUUCACAUUUUGCGUUUGCAUGUAUUGCUCAUUGCCCCUGGCCUAACAUUCUCCAAGCUCUGCAAUAUUAGAGAUAAAGUCCAUUUUGUAUCCCACCAUAUUCCUAAGGUCUAGCAAGUGCCUGGUAGCUUCUCAAUUAUUUGAGUCCUAAAGCCAUCAUGAC